rnacentral:rRNA from 1 species
GAUGAACGCUAGCGGCAGGCUUAACACAUGCAAGUCGAGGGGCAGCGGGGAGUAGCAAUACUUCGCCGGCGACCGGCGCACGGGUGCGUAACGCGUAUGCAACCUACCAUAUACAGGGGGAUAAUCACUCGAAAGGGUGUCUAAUACCCCAUAGUAUUAAAUAACUGCAUGGUUAUUUAAUUAAAGAUUUAUUGGUAUAUGAUGGGCAUGCGUGACAUUAGCUAGUUGGAGAGGUAACGGCUCACCAAGGCAACGAUGUCUAGGGGUUCUGAGAGGAAGAUCCCCCACACUGGUACUGAGACACGGACCAGACUCCUACGGGAGGCAGCAGUGAGGAAUAUUGGUCAAUGGGCGAGAGCCUGAACCAGCCAUGCCGCGUGAAGGAAGACUGCCCUACGGGUUGUAAACUUCUUUUACAUGGGGAUAAACCUACUCUUGCGAGAGUAGCUGAAGGUACCAUAUGAAUAAGCAUCGGCUAACUCCGUGCCAGCCGCCGCGGUAAAAC